UUACAAGUGCUACCCUCCCCCGCAUCUGUCAACACCAAAGUAACUGCGGAAUAGCCAACAAAAUAGGAACUCCGACUUUGCCCUGCCAUGAGAAUACAGAACAGAUGUCUCCGUGUGUCUUACAUCCAGCAGCACAAUAUGCAACCGCCCUUUGACUAAAUGUGGCUGGGUGGGGUGUGGACAACACCUAUCAGGACCCCCAGACUUGGAAUCAGACACCAACACUUUCUCAGCAAGGACACCGGCCUUCAACGGUGGUCUUGGGAGCUUCAGAUAUUCACUCAUCAAGUCACUGAGUGUGCACCAGAAGGAGAGAAAAUCAUCUUUCCGAAAAGUUCAUGGUCCCUGUGUUGCUGAGAGACACGGAUUCAGAGCGGAAACAGAGCACGUUCCCAGGCCAAGAGCUUGCUGCUUGAACGCGCUAGAAUUCACACAAGCCCAGCGGGGCAGACGCGCUCUCCUCUUUGGCUGGCUGUAGGGUCGGGCCCCGGAAAGCUACCUCCAGUAUACGACUGUGGCCUCUGUGCAGUCCCGGGGACAGGCAUCGCAAAGGGCCCGUUCAUGUUAACUUUCAUCCACA